UGUGCGGAUUUUGGGAAGCCGAAAUCUCUGUAGAUGGGCCAGAAUCUUAAGAUCUAACGGGAAGGAUCAGGCCGGCCCAUCCUAGUAGCAGCAGCCAUCGAACAUUCGAUCCACCAACAACGACAGGCUGAGCAACCACUAGUUUUUCACAACCUUUACGUUGAUGGCUUCACCAAACCACGGUCAAAGCCGUGACCCCCCCCCCUCUACUCCUUACAUACCGAUCGUCCUACAGCCAAAUGUGCUUUGCUUUCGACGACGGCACAUGUAGAUCAACAGAAGCAGAUACUGCCACUAGCGCAUAUUACACGCGUGCAGAUGUACGCCUACGUGGGGCUCGUGGGCGGCGCAGCUGCGCUCGUGCUGCUGCUGCUGCUGCGGCACCAGGCGCGCAGGUGGAGGAACCCUCGCUGCGGCGGCCAACUCCCGCCGGGCUCCAUGGGCCUCCCGCUCGUUGGCGAGACGUUCCAGUUCUUCUCCUCCGACGCCUCCUUGGACAUCCCUCCCUUCAUCCGGCACAGGCUGGCUAGGUACGCCUUUGUUAAUGGGCCAGAGAACGGGCUGGGUUUCUUUUGCUGUUUUUUUACUAGUUUGGGCUGCAAGUUCAGAUAUGGGCCGAUAUUCAAGACCAGCCUGGUGGGGCACCCGGUGGUGGUGUCGGCCGACGAGGAGCUGAACCACAUGGUGUUCCAGCAGGAGGGGCAGCUGUUCCAGAGCUGGUACCCGGACUCGUUCGUGGAGAUCCUGGGGAAGGACAACGUCGGGGAGCAGCAGGGCGCCAUGUUCAGGUACCUCAAGAACAUGGUGCUCAGGUACUUCGGCCCCGAGAGCCUCAAGGAAGGCAUCAUCCGCGACGUCGAGCGCGCCGUCUCCAGCUCCCUCUGCACCUGGUCCACCUUGCCGGCCGUCGAGCUCAAAGAAGCCGUCUCCACUAUGGUGUUCGAUCUUGCUGCAAGCAAGCUGCUCGGCCUGGAGCCGUCGAGGUCAAAGAUUUUGCGGAAGAGCUUCUUCGACUUCGUUCGAGGGCUCAUCUCCUUCCCGCUGUAUCUGCCAGGGACAGCUUACUACUCAUGCAUGCAGGGGCGGAGGCGCGCGAUGGUGGUGCUAGAGCAAGUUCUGGAGGAGAGGAAGCAAUCGACAGGAUUGCAGCGAGGAGGAGAAGCGCAGCAGCACGGCGACUUCCUGGAUUAUGUGAUCCAGGAGAUCACGAAGGAAAAGCCGGUCAUGACAGAGAAGAUGGCGCUCGACCUGAUGUUCGUGCUCCUCUUCGCCAGCUUCCACACGACGUCGCUGGCGCUCACCCUGGCCGUCAAGCUGCUCGCCGACCACCCUCUCGUCCUGGAGGAGCUCACGGUGGAGCAUGAAACGAUUCUGAAGGACCGUGAGGCAGGCAGCGAGCUAGAUAGAAUCACAUGGAAGGAGUACAAAUCCAUGGCAUUCACAUCUCAGGUCAUAAACGAGACGGUCCGUUUGGCCAACAUCGCUCCUGUCAUCUUCAGAAAGGCACUUAAAGACAUACGGUUCAAUGUGACAUCCAUUGGUGACAGGAUACACAAUUCCAGCAGGAUGGGGAGUGAUGGUCUGUCCACCAGCAGUGCACUUAAAUCCAUAUAUUUAUCCGGAUCCUCUCACCUUCAUCCCUUCAAGGUUUAAGGAUAAACCAGAGAUAAACCGUGGAUCAAAACACUUCAUGGCAUUCGGCGGAGGACUACGGUUCUGCGUUGGAGCAGACUUCAGCAAGCUACAAUUGGCUAUUUUCCUCCAUUUCCUUGUGACAAAAUACAGGUGGAUACCGCUGGGAGCAAGCAGGGUAGUCCGAACUCCAGGACUAGAAUUUCCUGAUGGCUAUCGGAUCAAAGUUAUCCAGAGACAUUAACAAGGCCUAACUCCAUCAGCAUCCGAAAAUACUACAAAUGCUAUUUACAAUGGCCAGUAUCAACAAUAUAAAGAAAACAUGCUCAAAUGGUUCCAAAUAUAAGUCAAUUUUAGGCUUAUGCACAAGACUUGAGAAAAUAACUCUCAUGCCCUUCAUGUAUACUAUCUUGAAAAAGACGACAAAUUUUAUUUGUGAGAGGGAUAGCAUUCUUGUUUUUUGAGAAUGACAGGCAUAGAAGAAAACAUAAACAAUGUCUAGAAUUCCAAAACGACUUUAUGUUGAGAGAUGUACAUUUAUUAUUGGACGCAUGGGCUGUUUACUUAUUUAUAUUUUUGACA